UACGUCUGACUUAAGAUUAAAGUUACGUACUCGUGAAAUGGUAUUUACAAAACCGUUCGUAGCCGCAAACGUAACUUACGAUGUACGAUUGCACGUACGCGUGCGCAGUGGCUAUUUUCACUUCGAAGCGUAAAACGUGUGAAUUUGCUCAUUUACUUUGACUUCCCUGCGCUACCGCCGCAUUAUGACGAAAAAGAACACAGAACUUUGUGAGAAAGCAACGAAUUUCAACGUAUACGUAUGCCUGCCAACGGCAUGUCGAUCAACUGUACCGCUAUUCAGUGUUGUUUACAAAUCCAAAUGGAAGGUUCAUCAAAUUUAACGCAUUUGACUUGUGCAUGGAUCUGCGAUGCUGUAGGUCUUCAAAAAGAAGUCGGCAUGGACUGACAAGGUCAUAAAGGUGGUCAAGAAAUAAAUUGCCAAAAGACAGCAGCAUUCCUUGAAUUAGAUACAUUUCUCUUCAUGUCCUCUCCUGAAAGAUUUUCCAUGAUGCCUCAGGGUUAGGACUGGGAUACAAGAUGUACAGUACAUAUAUAUGAUGUCUAUGGGUACAUUGCUGUAAUGGCCUGAAAAAUCUUUUGCGAAACCGAGAAAUGUUCAUCUUCCAUUGCCAUGAUUGUGUAAAAGGACGAGCAGAGGAAUGAUUCAAAAAUAUAUGGCAGGAUUGAGAAUCUAACCCAUGACCCGUAGUCUGGUACUCUACCCACUGAUCAAUCCAUGCUGAUGGUCCAUCUGCUACAUUGAUGUCAUCUUAUAUAUUUAUUUAUUCAUUUAUAUAUCAUAUGGACAUUUAAAAAUUGACAGUAAAAUAAAAAAAAGUUUGAUAUUCAGCAAAAUAGAAUUUGUUACAAUACAUGUUUAAGAAAUUAAGUACAUGUACAUGCAUUGUUAUGCAUACAAUUAUGUACAUGUAAUUAUAUUUGUUAAUAGAUAAAUUCUUAGAUGAAUUUUCAUGUUGUUAUUGAUAUUGACAUGUACAUGUAUUACUUCCAUUUCUAGAAUGAUUUUAACAUCUUGAUAUUAAAAUGAUGACAUAAUAAAUAAA